CAAGAAAACUUGUUGGAAUAUCGCACAUUUAUUUUAAGUUAAUUAAAUGUAUCAUGGCAGAAGCAGUAUUUCAAACUAGUAAAGGUUCUGAAAUGUAGAUGCUCAAGCAAAAUACAGAUUAUGAGAUGUUGGUGAAAAUGCAAACAAAGUAUGGUGUAUUGCAAUAGUAUUACGUUUUAAAAGUCCAGUACACAGUAUCUACUUUAUUGGCCUAAAGGACAAAUUAAUAGGUAACAGCAGCCAAUAUGCUGAGGACCACAGUGGAUAGCCUCCAAUGGAAAAGACCACAUAACCAAAGACUGGAAUGGAAAGGACCAGGGGGCAGAUUUACUAAAGGGCAAGUGGCUAACGCUAGUGACUUUUUGCCAGAUAUCAUAUCCGCAGGGGAAUCGCCAAUUCACUAACAGGCGCAUACGAUAAUUCGCUAGCAAAAGAGACUGUUGCUAGUGUUGGUUUGCACUCUAUCACUAGAUGACUUUUUUCGCUCAAGCGAAUGGUCGUUGUUCAGCAAAUUCACUAAAGUGCGGAUUUUACUGAACAUUACCUUUUCCGCCAGAGUUGAUUUCGCCACCUCAGACCAG